UGACACACCGUUUCUCUAGGUACUUCCUAGUUCGUACAUCGUUUUUCUCACCGCUAAAACCCUCACUGUGCUGCCUGCCUCUACUCUCCCCGUCUUCCUCCUCGCCUCAUCUGCUAAAAUCUCUUUGAUUCUACCAUCCGUCACAACCGUUCGGACUUUCCCAAAGGAUGGGAAAGGGAUCACCAAUUUGAAAUCAGCUCUUCAGGUGCAGAAUGAACAACUAAUCAAUGUGGAAAACUUUUGGAAGUGUAUAUAACUGCAACAUAGAAAUCUCCCAUUUGGAUUGCACAUAUGCUCUGGAUGCAAAGUAAAUAAAAUGUAAUGUAACUUAAAGACUUAUUUUACCAUGUUGUGUUUGUGAAUGCAGUUAAGCAGUUGGUAGCUUUUGAGUAUCAAUUGAUUAUCAUGUACUAUUAUUCAAACUCUUUUUUUGGGAAAAGGAAACGGGAAACGUAAUUCCAACUA